CCCUUAGAUGUUCUGGGCCGCACGCGUGCUACACUGAGUAAUUCAAUGGGUAAGGGAACGCUAGAGCAUUACCUAAUCUUGAAAUUUGCUCGUGAUGGGGAUCGACGGUUGCAAUUUUCCGUCGUGAACGAGGAAUACCUUGUAGGCGCAUGUCAUCAUCAUGCGCCGAAUACGUCCCUGCCCUUUGUACACACCGCCCGUCGCUCCUACCGAUCGAGUGAUCCGGUGAGGCUCUGGGACCUGGACGGAAAGAGCGUUUCGCUUGUUCUGUUUGGGAAACUUGGUCGAACCUUAUCAUUUAGAGGAAGGAGAAGUCGUAACA
rnacentral:rRNA from 1 species